GUCAGUUUGGCCGAGUGGUUAUGGCGUGUGACUCAAGCGGCAUCAGCAACUCAUCUGAGUUCUGAUCAGCUUCAUCCGUAAUAGCGGUUGAGCAUUCUCAUAGGGUUUCCCUGCAAGGGUUCGAAUCCCUUAGCUGACA